rnacentral:lncRNA from 1 species
UUAACAUUCACAAUGUGGAUUAGAUGAUUUACUCCUGUUUCUUGAUAGUUGAGUUGCUGCAUAUUCAACAACUAUAAAAACUGCCAGUGUUUUCUGCUGUGCUGUUUCACUGUGUCCACACACACAGCUGUCAGAGCCAAGCUGAGUUCAGAGUGUGUGGUGUUCCUUGAGCUGCCUGGACUCACAGGAGCCUUGAUAUUGAAGGAGGGUUGGGACAGAGAGGCAGAUGCAGUCUUGGUAGUGCCCUUGUGACUGGGGAGAUGCUGUGGACGUUCACCCAGUGUCACCUCUGAAGCGUUCACACUGUGUGGUGGUCCUGGGCUUGCAGACUUGCCCUUCAUGCCAGCCCUGCAAGGCUGGGGCAGCAACCUCCUGGCUAACACUGGCUGUGCCAUGUUGCUUGGUUGAAAUUCAUUAUAAAAUCUUACUCCAUCUUUUAUUCUCCAGACAUUGCUUUUGGAAACUUUUUCCUGAUUACAAUUGGAUGAUUAAGAGAAGACAAAUUAUUUGUACACUCCAUGCUCUUGUUU